AAUACACAACUUGCAUACUAUGGGAAUUGUGUUUAUGUUGUUAUGGGAUUAUGGAGUUAUGAUCUAAAAAACUUAUGGAGUUAUGAUCUAAAAAAGAACUAUGGAGUUGUGUGCAAAGAAAGGACAUAAUGUUUCUCAAAUUGCCCUUUAUAUCUCUAUGUUUUGCACUUUAUCAAAGGCGCAAUUAGUUGAGCUCUCAAGCCAAGUUUUUCCAGCAUGAUUUCACUUAUGGUUCCUUGCGGGAAUUUUGAAGAAGGAAAUAUUUCGCCUAUGACAACCUAGAACUUGCUAGCUGUGUAGUCCGUUGUUUACCAUGGUAGGGUGAUAUCCUAUUUUUUUCUAAGUAGAUAUAGUUAUAUUUUGAUAUGGACUAAUACAUCUCAUUUCCUAAAUUGAAUAAUACAUAUCUUCUACAAAAUUAAAUAUCAAGAAACUGGAUGCAAAUUAAUUGUGAAAUAGCACCACUAAUUUAAUGGUGCAAUCUAAAGAAGAACAGUUGAACAAUUGUUUUUUUAUCAAGCAAUUCGGCGACAACAGUCAACAGUGCCAAGGUUCAGUUCAUCAAGGAGAGAACUACUCGUACAAUGUCCAUUGAUACAACACCCUGGCCUGGCAAACAAAAGACGUGCGCUAGUUUAAUUAAGGGGGAGAAACGAAGGUCCAUUUAGUGGUGGCAGUGGUGUGUAAUUUCCCUCAAAUCCAGCUUCUAGAGUUUUCUGGAGCACUCCAGAUUUUAGUUUUUUUAAGCAGCAAUAUCAUGUUUGGCUUGUGUUUUCUGAAGUAAAGCUGAAUUUUAAGGAGCAGUACAAGUAAAAGAUAUAUCAAAGAAACUACAAUCUGCCUCCAUCACAAACAUGUAUAUUUCUCACAAAUCCGAGAUUUUCAAGUUCUGCAGCGAGUAGACUGACACUGAAAUUUCAAUUCAGGUGAACCGAAUCAGGGACAGGACAUCAUUGUUCAAACUUCAAAGCAUUCUAGUACUGUAUUUCAAAUCCACUUGCUUGAAACCUCACAUAGAAUAAAUAAUUCAAGCAAAGAAACAUAGCAUCGAGUGAACACAGUACAAAUAUACAUGCCAAGACACGCAAACAAGCAGCAGAGUUGUAGCCAUGGUACUCUCUAGUCUCUACUAGUAACAAGCUCCAGUUGUACGAAAACCACAAUACCACAUAAACGGAGAGAUGAAUUUGUCACCGAUCUUACUC